UACAGAGGUCCCGAGCGUUGUUCGGAUUUAUUGGGCGUAAAGAGCGUGUAGGCGGCCAAACAGGUCAGCUGUGAAAACUCGAGGCUCAACCUCGAGACGUCGGUUGAAACCGUUUGGCUAGAGUCCGGAAGAGGAGAGUGGAAUUCCCGGUGUAGCGGUGAAAUGCGCAGAUAUCGGGAAGAACACCCGUGGCGAAGGCGGCUCUCUGGGACGGUACUGACGCUGAGACGCGAAAGCGUGGGGAGCGAACAGG
rnacentral:rRNA from 1 species